rnacentral:rRNA from 1 species
GAUGAACGCUAGCGGCAGGCUUAACACAUGCAAGCCGAGGGGCAGCGCGGGAUAGCAAUAUCCUGGCGGCGACCGGCGGAAGGGUGCGUAACGCGUGAGCGACAUGCCCGUUGCCCGGGGACAACCGGUGGAAACGCCGACUAAUCCCCGAUGGGAUAUUGUGCCGCAUGGCACGAUAUUGAAAGUUACGGCGGCGACGGAUUGGCUCGCGUCCGAUUAGCUUGUUGGCGGGGUAACGGCCCACCAAGGCUGCGAUCGGUAGGGGUUCUGAGAGGAAGGCCCCCCACGAGGGGACUGAGACACGGGCCAUACUCCUACGGGAGGCAGCAGUGAGGAGUGUUAGUCAAUGGGCGGAAGCCUGAACCAGCCAUGCCGCGUGCGGGAAGGAGGCCCUAUGGGCUGUGAACCGCUUUUGCCUGGGGGCAAUAAGGGCGUCGCGCACGUCCGAUGAGAGUACCAGGCGAAUAAGCAUCGGCUAACUCCGUG